CUCCAUGUGUAGCGGUGGAAUGCGUAGAUAUAUGGAAGAACACCAGUGGCGAAGGCGGCUGUCUGGUCUGCAACUGACGCUGAGGCUCGAAAGCAUGGGUAGCGAACAGGAUUAGAUACCCUGGUAGUCCGUGCCGUAAACGAUGAGUGCUAGGUGUUGGAGGGUUUCCGCCCUUCAGUGCCGGAGCUAACGCAUUAAGCACUCCGCCUGGGGAGUACGACCGCAAGGUUGAAACUCAAAGGAAUUGACGGGGGCCCGCACAAGCGGUGGAGCAUGUGGUUUAAUUCGAAGCUACGCGAAGAACCUUACCAGGUCUUGACAUCUUGCGCUAACCUAAGAGAUUAGGCGUUCCCUUCGGGGACGCAAUGAC
rnacentral:rRNA from 1 species